rnacentral:rRNA from 1 species
AUCAACCUACGGGAGGCAGCAGUGGGGAAUAUUGGGCAAUGGGCGCAAGCCUGACCCAGCAACGCCGCGUGAAGGAAGAAGGCUUUCGGGUUGUAAACUUCUUUUCUCAGGGACGAAGCAAGUGACGGUACCUGUCGAAUAAGCCACGGCUAACUACGUGCCAGCAGCCGCGGUAAUACGUAGGUGGCAAGCGUUGUCCGGAUUUACUAGGUGUAAAGGGCGUGUAGCCGGGUUGACAAGUCAGAUGUGAAAUCCUGCGGCUUAACCGCAGAACUGCAUUUGAAACUGUUGAUCUUGAGCACUGG